GGGUCAGUAGGUUGGUCGUGCCACCGGUACGUACUGGUCUCACUGAUUCCUCCUUCCUGAAGAACCGUAAUGCCAUUAAUCUGGUGUUGCGGGGAAACAGGACUGUUACUUUAAAAAAAUUAGAGUGUUUAGAGCAAGCUAACGCUUGAAUACAUUAGCAUGGAAUAAUGAAAUAGGACGAUCGAUCCUAUUUUGUUGGUUUCUAGGAUUGACGUA
rnacentral:rRNA from 1 species